CAGCCGCCGCGGGAAUACAGAGGGUGCGAGCGUUAAUCGGAUUUACUGGGCGUAAAGCGUGCGUAGGCGGCUUUUUAAGUCGGAUGUGAAAUCCCUGAGCUUAACUUAGGAAUUGCAUUCGAUACUGGGAAGCUAGAGUAUGGGAGAGGAUGGUAGAAUUCCAGGUGUAGCGGUGAAAUGCGUAGAGAUCUGGAGGAAUACCGAUGGCGAAGGCAGCCAUCUGGCCUAAUACUGACGCUGAGGUACGAAAGCAUGGGGAGCAAACAGGAUUAGGUACCCGCGUAGUCCCUGUCUCUUAUAU
rnacentral:rRNA from 1 species